rnacentral:rRNA from 1 species
AUUGAACGCUGGCGGCAGGCUUAACACAUGCAAGUCGAGCGGAGAUGAGGUGCUUGCACCUUAUCUUAGCGGCGGACGGGUGAGUAAUGCUUAGGAAUCUGCCUAUUAGUGGGGGACAACAUUCCGAAAGGAAUGCUAAUACCGCAUACGUCCUACGGGAGAAAGCAGGGGAUCUUCGGACCUUGCGCUAAUAGAUGAGCCUAAGUCGGAUUAGCUAAUUGGUGGGGUAAAGGCCUACCAAGGCGACGAUCUGUAGCGGGUCUGAGAGGAUGAUCCGCCACACUGGGACUGAGACACGGCCCAGACUCCUACGGGAGGCAGCAGUGGGGAAUAUUGGACAAUGGGCGGAAGCCUGAUCCAGCCAUGCCGCGUGUGAAGAAGGCCUUUUGGUUGUAAAGCACUUUAAGCGAGGAGGAGGCUACCUAGAUUAAUACUCUGGGAUAGUGGACGUUACUCGCAGAAUAAGCACCGGCUAACUCUGUGCCAGCAGCCGCGGUAACAC